ACAUUCUCCCCCUGCUCCCGAUGGCGCUCCUGGAAGCUCUGCAACUAUGCUCCACUUCAAAUGGGGAGGGUAGACCUGAAGCUUUCUUCUUUGUACACACUGACACAAGACUGCUGCUGCAUUGAUUCUUGAGCAAGGCGAACAAUGGAAGAAAGCCACUUUUUGUUGUUAAAGUGAGGUAGCAUUUCUGCUGUAGUUAGAAAGAGCAUUGUCUCUCCAGUGUCCCAAAUCACUUCCAUUAAACAGUCAAUGUGAUAACUGUCUGUGACAUGUUCUAUUAUCUUUCUAGUUGUUCUGAUGUUCCUUUCAGCUGGUCCUAUAGCCCCCUUUCUCAGUAAUGUCUCCCCAGUGAAAGGAAAAAGACUGCAGAGGCUUCAGACUGACGGACGCUCAUGCCAACUGUGAAGUUGAAACAAAGCCAGUGACCAGCUGAAGAGGCCCCUCCUGCCCAGCAGCCACCCACAUGGUGCAGUUGCAGCCAGUAGUAAUCUUUGCAAGAAGCAGAGAAGCCCAGAACACUCAUGAGUCAAAACCAUGCCCUUCCUUGUGUGUAUCCCUGUCUCGUUCAGAUUGAUGCUCCUUCCAUUUGGAUCCUGGUAUGAAUAUGCUUGUUACUGUACGAGUGUAAAAAGCUUUGCCCAAAUGUGUUAAUGUAUGAAGAGACUGAAUUUUUUUUUGGGGGGGGGGAGAGAGUUAUUUUUAUCAAAACACAGUGUUCGUUCUUGAGAGUGAUCUAGAAAAUAAAAAGCAGUUGGAAAAGACAGCAAAGCAGUCACAGGCGAUCCACAGAGAUGCUCACACCACCACACAGAAACACCACACCAUGCUCCCAGACUCUGAGCAGGGAGCUUGACUCUGUGACAUACUAUGGCUGCUGCCAGGGGUCAACGUCAAGCCAGACAAAGGUGCAGAAGCUUCCUGAAGUGUAGUGAUAAACUGAGUCAGGAGACAAUAAGAACAGCAACGACACAAAAGACAACGUCCUUGGAGGGAGCCAAGUGGGUUUGCUUAAGGAAGGAUGCUCCCUUAAAGAGAGAAUGGGAAAUCAACCUUUAAAGGAUGUAAAAACAAAACUAGAUAAAUGGGAAGAUAGGAGAAAAUAGAGUCCUUAAUGCAAGCAUAAGGGUAAGCAGCGGACGGGCAGAGGAGAUCCACAUGGUGAGUCUUGGAGACUACACAUAUCUCGUCUUGAUUUUGCCUGACACUUGGAACCGCUGUCUGUGUGUCUAGUAGAGAUGCUGCACACAGGUAUCUCCCCUCCCCCACCCCGAAUGUCACCUAAACCAAACUAGAACUAAAGUUCCAGUUCUGUGUCACUACAAAGAUUGGUUGGUGAUUCCUGAAUAGAAGUCAUGAUUCUUCUGUUCGUGAUUGCUUGUUACCAAGUUUAUUCCAUACAGAAAAUGUUUUGCAUAUUAAAUCUCAUGGUUGCUAUGAAAACGACACAUUAUCCACCUUUCACAGGUGAAGGAACUGAUUUUGGUGAGGUUGAGCGCCUGGCCAAGGUGCUACGUGCAGCUAUGCACAUUCAAGGUUGUGGUCAUGAAACUCAGUCCCUAGUCUGACUUUUGUGAUGAGUCCCAACACAGUUGUCACCUUUACCAUAGCCCUUAAUGCCUGUCUACAGAAAGACAUGGCUUUUCUGCUGACUUACAGCCACAGUAUUUCCUACUUCCAUGCUGAAUUAUACCAGAAUGAUAAAACGUAUUUUCAUGGAAGAAAAUUGAGAAUUUAGUGAAAUACACUGCUUGCCAGCAGUUUGUAUGUUUCUUCUUCAUUUUGGUCUGAGACUUUUGAUUUAGUUCUGCAUGAAAUCUCAAAGUUUUAAGAGCAGUAAGGGAAGGGCCUUAAGUUACCUGUUAUAGUACUUUGUGACAGAAGAUGUAAAUCUACAACCUGUAAUCAGAGUGACUUUACAAACAAACAACAAAAAGACACCCCUCCCCACAAAAACUCAAAUCAAACCAACCAACCAAACAACAAAAUAAACAAAACCGCCCACUUAAUUGGAAAUGUCCCAACAAAGACCAGAAACUAAGUCCUCUUUCAAUGGCUUUUAAAUUAUUCCACCCUGUCCUAAAGAAACAUGAACUUGUAUUUGACUAAAGGCACCAAUGUUGCAUAGAUUGGAUCUCAUAAAAUCUAGUUUCUUCCUUCCUUGGUACUCAUGUCAAUGUUAAAUACAGCUAUGAACUAGUGUAUCUAUGUCAAGAAGUUGUCAAUGAUCUGUCCCCAAAGAACACAGAAUAGCCAAUGUUGUAUAUAUACUCCUUCUUUAAUCCAGCCAUGGAGUCAUUAGUUCACCUGCACCAAUCCAAUCCAUUGUGCAUCUUCUCAACCAACCUGACCUAUGGCAAUCAUUUGCAAGUGCUAUAAAUGUUUAUCUAUGACUGUUCCAGAAAUAGUUAGGUAUUAACAAAUACCACUAGUCAUUUUGUGGUGUAAUCUUCAUUUAUCUGUGUCACUAAUUCAAGAAGACUUUGGCCAUAAAAACCUAGAACUAAAAAUCGCAUUCUUGGCUUUCAGCCACUCUACAUUUGAUUGACAUUUCACAGUGAUUAAUAAAUUGUCCAUCUAAAU
ensembl:processed_transcript